AGUUUCUUGAUGAUUGUUCUAUUUUCUGAAGAGUCGAGUGCCAAGUCGCAAGAUUUGGCAUUCUUUUCCUGUGGAAAGAAUAAGAACGGCCAACUGAUAA
rnacentral:snoRNA from 1 species